GGGGGUGCCCGGUUUUGACAGCAGGCAGAGUUCGAUUGUAAGCACGCCGAGCGCUGUGUGGCGGCUCGUAAAUCCCGACGCUCGACAAUCAAAUGGCAAUAACAGCUAUGCACUCGCUGCCUAAUUUUCAAGGAAAAUUGGCUUAAUCGAUCGGCCCGAGGCGGUCGGACGACGAGUAUCCCGAGAGGCGGUUCCGCUCCUUAACGGCCUUUCAUACGGGGUAUCAUUCAUUCGGAGAUAGUGCGUCGGAGGGUUCCGGCCGACGUGCGAAAUCGAAGGGACUGGGAUUCGCGUUCGGUCGUCGCCUGCCAGACGCGGAUAGGAGGAUGAAACGGCGACUAAGCGUGUAGAAAGCCUUCGGGUUCCCUGUUUGGACGCGGGUUCGACUCCCGCCACCUCCACAA
rnacentral:tmRNA from 1 species